UGGAGCACCCAUCAGUUGGAAACAACUGAACGGCAGCUAACAACAAUAUUCCAUUAAAUAAACUGCUUGUUUCAGGAGUGUAUAGGAAAAAAAAAAAAACCCAGUGCCAUCGAGUCGAUUCCAACUUAUAGCAACCCUAUAGGACAGAGUAGAACUGCCCCCAUAGAGUUUCCAAGGAGUCCUGGUGGAUUUGAACUGCCAACCCUUUGGUUAGCAGCUGUAGCACUUAACCACUACGCCACCAGGGUUUCCAUGUUUGUAGAAGUAUCCCAAAAAUACUCAGUCAUUUUUCAGUUUGUGCCUGUAUUGCUUAGUAAGGUAGGAGGAUAAAAGAAAGCAGAAUAAUUUGUGAAAUGCAUGCCUUCGAGAAUAAUUUUAAAAGGGAGUGAUUUUCUUGAGCUUACCCAACCUUAGCAAUCUCCAAGUAGCUGGCUUCCCCUUCAACUGCCCCAGCAUCUGAGGAGGGGGGCUGGGCAGUGGGGCAGAGCAAACCCAGCUGCACCUCUCUUUAGAUCCAGCAGAUGCAAUAUCCCCAUACAUAAUUUAACAGGAUCUCCGCAGCCUGGAGACGAUGUAAUGGGCUACCAGGAAAGACCAUUUGGGCUCACAUUCCAGCAACUUAUCAAAAACCAAAUGCUGUCUCAUGAGAACAGGAUCUGAAAAUGGGCAUUGAUUCACAGGAAUAGCUUCAUUUUCAUCAUCAUUAAAAGGAAUUGCCAAACCAAUGUUCGUGCUGAAUUCAAGCAUUUUCUAAAUUCCUAUAGAAAAUGUCUAUUGUUAGCCUCCUCAGGGGGAUGUUGCACAGGACAGCCCUCACUGCCCAUUUGCUGGACAUGGCCGGGAAUGGAGCUGUGCCACCCCCUGCCCCCAAAAAUGUGCAUCCAUGCAGAACUGGACAGUGGAGCCAGGAUUCCAUGCCUACAUCUCUCUGAAGGAGAAUGGUUAGUGUCUGUUGCAGAUUGAAUUAUGUCCCCCCUCCCCCCAAAUAUACACUGAAGUCCUGGCCCCUGUACCUGUGGAGGUGACCCUGUUUGGAAAUAGAGGCUUUCUUUUGUUAUGUUAAUGAGGUCAUCCCAGAGUAGGGUGGGUCCUAAACCUAAUCACUUCUGCCUUAUAAAAAGAGCAGAAUAGACACAGAGACACACACAGGGGAAGAAGGAAGGCAAGCAAUGGAGACAGCAGCCCAGGAGCACCAAGAAUUGAUGGCAGCUACUAGAAUCUGAAAGGGACCAGGAAGAGCUUCCCCAUAGAGCCAUGCCCUGCAUUCGGAUGACUGGCCUCCUGGGCCAUGAGACAAUAAAUGUCUGCUUUUUAAAGGCACCCCCUUAUGGUAUUUCUGUUAUGGCAGCCCUAGACAACUAAGGCAGUGUCUGUGUCCUCUGAGUAUCUGGGUUUUGAUUCCUUGGUGUUAUAGGUUGAAUUGUGUCCUCCCAAAAUAUGUUGAAGUCCUAACCCCUGUACCUAUGGAUGUGACCUUGCUUAGGGAAACUGGGUUUUGCUUGAAGAUAUUAGUGAAGGCAUACUGCAGUAGGAUGGGUCCUAGUCCUAAUCCCUUCUGAGUGGCGUCUUAUAAAAAGGUGUAAAGACACGGAGAGAGGGUCACUUGGAGAAGACAGAAUGUGAGGAUCCGUCUACAAGCCAGAAGCUGAAGGAGACAAGGAAGAAUCUUCCCCUAGAAAUGACACAGAGAGAGCAUAGCUCUGUCAAUGCCCUGAAUUUGGACUUCUGGCCUCCAGAACUGGGAGACAAUGAAUUUCUGUCCUUAAAGUCACCUGAUUUGUGGUAUUUUUUUUAUGGCAGCACCAGGAAACUAAGACACUUGGCUUGGAUCAGAGAGCAGGAUUUGUCAACAGAACACCAAGGGGGCCAGGACAGGAGGACGUGACCUGACGUGGCAACAGGCAGGUUAGAGGUGAAUGUAAUGGAAGAGAUGCUGGCACAGGGCAGCAGCCCCCUAGUGUUUGUAACAUCCCGUGAAUUCAGAAUUCCAAUAGACCCAUGACUCACAGGAAUUCAACAAGUCUCAGAGCGAGUACAAGAUUGAACAACUAUGUUGCUCUGUCUUCAAGAUCACAGAUCCCUUGAGUACCUGCUGAGACUGACCUUGUUAAACACACAGUAAAGGAUGUUUAAGUUUCUGCCAUGCGUGGUUGGAUUCAAUGUGGACUGCAAGAUGGACCCAUUCACCCGUGAGGCAAGGUGCAAGGUGGGCCCCCUCUGAGGAGGCACACACUCCUCUGAGUGGUCAGGGACACCUGAGGGGGGCAGGUGGAACACCCUGGGAAGAGUUGGGCAUGAGGCAGGACCACGGCCUGGCUCUGCCCUGGCUUCUGGAAGCUUUGACCAGGCUCCUUACACUGAUAGGAACCAGAGAUGGCCUGAAUGGAGUAGCACUGUGACCCUGCUGGGCCAUUUCUUGCCUGGGCUUCAGGGCCAGAGGCUGCCCUGAUCCUGGGGCCGAAGGUGCAUUGUGAGCAGGAAAGAAGAGACCCUCGUGUCCAGGGGUGCAGCAGGGACUGGCCAGAGGAGCGAAUGGGUGAAGUCCCACUCUGUCUCUCUGCAUGUCUGUCACCAAGGGGCCACCCCUACCUCCAGUGUCCCACAGUGCCAUCAUCUCUGCAUCCUCUGGAAUCUGGCAGCAGGCAGCCUCUCAUGCUAGGUCAAGGGUCCCUGGGUACUGUGGACCAGCCGCUCUUGGGGUCCACUUACCUCUGGGCAGUGGGCUGUGGCAGGGCUGGAGUGGGCCUCGGAGUGGCCAAGGUUGCAUGCCCUGUAGUCAACAUGCCAUGGGUUACCCUGCCCUGCAGCACCCCAUAUGUCUUAGUUAUCUAGUGUUGCCAUAACAGAAAUGCCACAAGUGGAUUGCUUUAACAAACAGAAA